rnacentral:rRNA from 1 species
CCUACGGGGGGCUGCAGUGGGGAAUAUUGGACAAUGGGGGCAACCCUGAUCCAGCCAUGCCGCGUGUGUGAAGAAGGCCCUCGGGUUGUAAAGCACUUUCAGUGAGGAAGAACGCCUGGUGGUUAAUACCCAUCAGGAAAGACAUCACUCACAGAAGAAGCACCGGCUAACUCCGUGCCAGCAGCCGCGGUAAUACGGAGGGUGCGAGCGUUAAUCGGAAUUACUGGGCGUAAAGCGCGCGUAGGUGGCUUGAUAAGCCGGUUGUGAAAGCCCCGGGCUCAACCUGGGAACGGCAUCCGGAACUGUCAAGCUAGAGUGCAGGAGAGGAAGGUAGAAUUCCCGGUGUAGCGGUGGAAUGCGUAGAGAUCGGGAGGAAUACCAGUGGCGAAGGCGGCCUUCUGGACUGACACUGACACUGAGGUGCGAAAGCGUGGGUAGCAAACAGGAUUAGAUACCCUGGUAGUC